GAUGAACGCUGGCGGCGUGCCUAAUACAUGCAAGUCGAGCGAACGGACGAGAAGCUUGCUUCUCUGAUGUUAGCGGCGGACGGGUGAGUAACACGUGGAUAACCUACCUAUAAGACUGGGAUAACUUCGGGAAACCGUAGCUAAUACCGGAUAAUAUUUUGAACCGCAUGGUUCAAUAGUGAAAGACGGUUUUGCUGUCACUUAUAGAUGGAUCCGCGCUGCAUUAGCUAGUUGGUAAGGUAACGGCUUACCAAGGCAACGAUGCAUAGCCGACCUGAGAGGGUGAUCGGCCACACUGGAACUGAGACACGGUCCAGACUCCUACGGGAGGCAGCAGUAGGGAAUCUUCCGCAAUGGGCGAAAGCCUGACGGAGCAACGCCGCGUGAGUGAUGAAGGUCUUCGGAUCGUAAAACUCUGUUAUUAGGGAAGAACAUAUGUGUAAGUAACUGUGCACAUCUUGACGGUACCUAACCAGAAAGCCACGGCUAACUACGUG
rnacentral:rRNA from 1 species